AACGACUCUCUUUGACGGAUAUCUCGGUUCUUGCAUCCAUUAAGAACGUAGAUUAUUGCAAUCCCACCACGUGAAUUGUUUCUCCCGUGAACCAUCGAGUUUUUGAACGAAGUUGCGCCCAAAGACUUUUGUUGAUUACACGUCUGCCUGGAUGUCC
rnacentral:rRNA from 1 species